GAUGAACGCUGGCGGCGUGCCUAACACAUGCAAGUCGAACGAAAAGACGAUGAGAUUGUGCCUUUGACGGUAGCGGCGGACGGGCGAGUAACACGUGCAUCACCUACUUAUAUUUCUGGGAUAAUAACGGGAAACAGGUUCUAAUACCGCCUCAUAUAUUCAACCGCUUGGUUCAAUAGAUAUUGUCGGCUUUGCUGUUUCUAAUAGCUGGUUUCGCGCCGCAUUAGCUGGUUGGUAAGGUACCGGCUUACCAAGGCGACGAUGCGUAGCCGACCUGAGAGGGUGAUCGGCCACACUGGAACUGAGACACGGUCCAGACUCCUACGGGAGGCAGCAGUAGGGAAUAUUGGGCAAUGGGCGAAAGCCUGACCCAGCCAUACCGCGUGGGUGACGAAGGCCUUCGGGUCGUAAAGCCCUUUUGUUGGGAAAGAACAGCUGUAGGAUAAUACAUGGCCGUUUUGACGGUACCUAAUGAAUAAGCACCGGCUAACUACGUG
rnacentral:rRNA from 1 species